rnacentral:rRNA from 1 species
AACGAACGCUGGCGGCAUGCCUAACACAUGCAAGUCGAACGAGACAUUCGGGUCUAGUGGCGCACGGGUGCGUAACGCGUGUGAACCUGCCCUUAGGUUCGGAAUAACUCCCCGAAAGGGGGGCUAAUAACGGAUAAUGUCUUUGGACAAAAGAUGUAUCGCCUUUGGAUGGGCCCGCGUUGGAUGAGCUAGAUGGUAGGGUAAAAGCCUACCAAGGUGACGAUCCAUAGCUGGUCUGAGAGGAUGAUCAGCCACACUGGGACUGAGCCACGGCCCAGACUCCUACGCGAGGCAGCAGUGGGGAAUAUUGGACCAUGGGCGAAAGCCUGAUCCAGCAAUGCAGCGUGAGUGAUGAAGGCCUUAGGGUUGUAAAGCUCUUUUACCCGGGAUGCUAAUGACAGUACCGGGAGAAUAAGCUCCGGCUAACUCCGUG